rnacentral:pre_miRNA from 1 species
UGUUAAAAUUUUUAUUUAUUUAUACUGUUACAAAUAGUUAAUUGGUAUAAUAAUUAGACAGUGACACGCGACAUGCCUUGCAUACUUCAUGCUAACAUAUAUGGACUAAUUUUUAAUAGUAAAAAUAAAUUAUAUUUUUAAUA